rnacentral:rRNA from 1 species
GUGGGGAAUUUUGGACAAUGGGCGCAAGCCUGAUCCAGCAAUGCCGCGUGCAGGAAGAAGGCCUUCGGGUUGUAAACUGCUUUUGUACGGAACGAAACGGUCCGGGUUAAUACCCUGGGCUAAUGACGGUACCGUAAGAAUAAGCACCGGCUAACUACGUGCCAGCAGCCGCGGUAAUACGUAGGGUGCAAGCGUUAAUCGGAAUGACUGGGCGUAAAGCGUGCGCAGGCGGUUUUGUAAGACAGGCGUGAAAUCCCCGGGCUCAACCUGGGAAUUGCGCUUGUGACUGCAAGGCUGGAGUGCGGCAGAGGGGGAUGGAAUUCCGCGUGUAGCAGUGAAAUGCGUAGAUAUGCGGAGGAACACCGAUGGCGAAGGCAAUCCCCUGGGCCUGCACUGACGCUCAUGCACGAAAGCGUGGGGAGCAAACAGGAUUAGAAACCCUUGUAGUCC